AUGGGGAGAAGGCAGACCGCCGUGAACGAGACACAGCCUGCUACGCACCGGCCCGCCCCGUGCCAGCGGCCGAGCCUGGCUCCCUCCCGGAGGCUCCAGCCCCCUCGGGCCUGUCCAUCCAAAGCCAACACGCCUGCGUAUGAAUUCAAGUGCAAUCUGGGGUCGACUUCGCUCUUCCCUCUGAGAUCUACGGGCAGACGGCCGACUCGGCAGGCCCCACCAUCCCCCUUUCUGUGGAAAGGCCCGCGAAGGAGGCCAGAGGAAGGAGCGAGGCCCGUGUUCUUCCGGCCCCAAAGGCGGGCCGUGACUUUCCUGGGCCGCCGAGGGAGGGGGACGAGGGGCUCCCUAACCCACGGGGGGAGGCAUGAGCUGGAGGAAGCCCACUGCCAAGCUCCACACGCUCCCCUCGGGGGCAGAUCCUGGCCGGCCAUCGGAGCGUCCGUCCGUAGGAAACCCUCCAAUCCCGUCCUUCCGUCUUCCGAAACGCCCACGAAUGGGCUGCUGUUUAGCAGAAGCCACCAUCGCGGGGCUCCUCGGCGGCGCUCCAUCUUCGCGCAUGCCGGGCAACAUAAGGCAAAAGGCAAAAGAGGCCUUGAAUCGGCACAGAAUUCCCCAUGGACCGAAGGGGCCGACGGUCCUGGUGUCCAAGUGUCAAAGCAGCGCCCGGGAAGCUCCUGCCCAGCACACGCCGCCACGGAAGCCCCAAGGAGUCUCCGGCGCAGUCUUCUCGCCCCCGUGUCCUGGGGCAGCGGCUGGCCGCGACGCCCCCCGUCAGAGCAGCAUUGGACACCCAGAGCUUUUCGGCAGCCUCUCUGGCCAUCGGGGUGUCGCGCCGUCUCAUGUGUCCAUGGGGAUGGGCACGUCCCCCCCGGAACACACUGUCCAGCCAUGGACGCUCCCCCGGUUGGGCUCUCCAGCCCGGAGAGGAAGGCUCUGGGCGGAGGCGUUCCCAGCUCUCCGCCCUCUCUGCCCUCUCGGGGUCUCCUCGAGGACCCCCGGCUGCCUGGCUCGCUCGGUCCAGUUCGUUCUAGCUACGGUGAAAAGGUCGGUGCACCCAGUCUACGAGUUUGUUGCUUUUUCAUUUUUAAUAUUCGCUCUGCAUGCUUGGUCUAUGUGCAUGCGCUCAUAUAA
rnacentral:lncRNA from 1 species